AUUGAACGCUGGCGGCAUGCCUAACACAUGCAAGUCGAACGGCAGCACGGCAGUAGCAAUACUGUGGGUGGCGAGUGGCGGACGGGUGAGGAAUACGUCGGAAUCUGCCCAGUCGUGGGGGAUAACUAGCCGAAAGGUUAGCUAAUACCGCAUACGACCGAGAGGUGAAGCGGGGGACCGCAAGGCCUCGCGCGAUUGGAUGAGCCGACGUCGGAUUAGCUAGUUGGUGGGGUAAAGGCCCACCAAGGCGACGAUCCGUAGCUGGUCUGAGAGGAUGAUCAGCCACACUGGAACUGAGACACGGUCCAGGACUCCUACGGGAGGCAGCAGUGGGGAAUAUUGGACAAUGGGCGCAAGCCUGAUCCAGCAAGUGCCGCGUGUGUCGAAG
rnacentral:rRNA from 1 species